rnacentral:rRNA from 1 species
AUAAUACUCCAUAGAUUAGAGACACUGGAAUGUUCUUUAGUCGAAAGUUCUGGCGCCUUAGGAUGGAUCUGCGGUCGAUUAGGUUGUUGUUGGGGUAACGGCCCAACAAGCCUGUAAUCGAUACGGGUUGUGGGAGCAAGAGCCCGGAGAUGGAAUCUGAGACACGAUUCCAGGCCCUACGGGGCGCAGCAGGCGCGAAAACUUUACAAUGCAGGAAACUGUGAUAAGGGAACUCCGAGUGCCCGUAUACGCGGGCUGUCCAGGUGUUUAAAAAUCAUCUGAAGAAAGGGCCGGGCAAGACCGGUGCCAGCCGCCGCGGUAAUACCGGCGGCUCGAGUGGUGGCCACUAUUAUUGGGCUUAAAGCGUCCGUAGCUGGACCGAUAAGUCUCUUGGGAAAUCCGCCGGCUCAACCGGCGGGCGUCUAAGGGAUACUGUUAGUUAGGGACCGGGAGAGGUGAGAGGUACUCCGGGGGUAGGAGUGAAAUCCUGUAAUCCCCGGGGGACCACCGAUGGCGAAGGCAUCUCACCAGAACGGCUCCGACAGUGAGGGACGAAAGCUGGGGGAGCGAACCGGAUUAGAUACCCGGGUAGUCCCAGCCGUAAACUAUGCGCGUUAGGUGU